rnacentral:rRNA from 1 species
CCUACGGGAGACAGCAGUGAGGAAUAUUGGUCAAUGGACGAGAGUCUGAACCAGCCAAGUAGCGUGAAGGAUGACUGCCCUAUGGGUUGUAAACUUCUUUUAUAUGGGAAUAAAAUGUUCCACGUGUGGGAUUUUGUAUGUACCAUAUGAAUAAGGAUCGGCUAACUCCGUGCCAGCAGCCGCGGUAAUACGGAGGAUCCGAGCGUUAUCCGGAUUUAUUGGGUUUAAAGGAAGCGUAGGUGGAUUGUUAAGUCAGUUGUGAAAGUUUGCGGCGCAACCGUAAAAUUGCAGUUGAAACUGGCAGUCUUGAGUACAGUAGAGGUGGGCGGAAUUCGUGGUGUAGCGGUGAAAUGCUUAGAUAUCACGAAGAACUCCGAUUGCGAAGGCAGUUCACUGGACUGCAACUGACACUGAGGCUCGAAAGUGUGGGUAUCAAACAGGAUUAGAUACCCCUGUAGUC